rnacentral:lncRNA from 1 species
GUCUUGGGAAUAUUCCCCAAUUCACGCAUUGGUCGAUCACCUAUUAUAUGCCCAGUAACCGGCAUCCUUGGUGUUCCCUCCUUCUGCUCCCUAUUAUGACUUUUAGUCCCCUGUGGAGUCAGAAUCCCUGAGUUGAAGUAUACCUUUUAGGUCUUCCUCAGACGUUUUGGAGUUUUGAUAUCUCUCAACCCUUAUACCGGUCUUAGAUAUUCGUUCUCCCGAAUCAUGUUUUUC